rnacentral:misc_RNA from 1 species
GUUUGGAUCAUUAACCUUGAAGUGAAGCGUUAAUUUUUAGGACUCUAUCGGGUCCGCGAAGCGGAAAACUCGCUUCGUUUUUGUGAUAAAGUCCAUUUUUUGCCCAGGCAAAUUUUUUUUGGACUCGAUCGUAAAAAUGAAGCGGUGAAUUCCGCUUCGAGUCCGCAUUGGUGAACCUGCGGGCGCUUAAAAUUUUUUUCAACUUUUUAAUCGAGUAAAACACCGUUAGGCGAUGGAUUGCUCGGCACCCACUUCGAUGAAGGGCGCAGUGAAAUGCGAAAUCGUUUGCGAUCCGCGUUCUCAGUGAGCCUCGUCAUCCUGAACAAGAUAUGGCCUCGUUCUCGAACGCUGGUCUCCUUGCCUUUACAUUACCCAUUGAAAUCCCGAUGCAGACCAGCUAUAAAGGGGCAUAAGCUACGUCAGUGAUACGUUUCCUGAAGCGCACACGGACCUGGCUCGAUCCUACCAUACAAAACGUAUGGUAAAAAUCGUGAAGCCGGUCAAAAACUGACAAAAUGCGAUAAUUUUCAAAUUUUUUUUUGAAAGUUAUCGGAUUUUAUCAGGUCCGUUUGCCGGGCAAAUUUUUUGCCGGGUUCGAAAUGAUCAAAAAGCGGUAAUUUACCAUUUUUUUUCAAUUUUCGAAGCGGACUUUCAAGCUGAUUCGAAGCGGUAAUCUAAGGUAGGGUGUUUACCCGCCAAAUUUAAGCAUAUAAGUCAGCGGAGGAAAAGAAAUCAAUAGAGAUUCUCUCAGUAGCUGCGAGCGAACAGGGAAUAGCCCAAGACUGAAUCCAUUUUGCCGCUUUCCCGCGGUGAGACGGACCUGUGGUCUAAGGAUCGGGGUCGAAAGGGCUCUGGCGUGCAGCACUCGGGCUGAUAACCCAGCGCAAAGGGCGUUUUACGCGACCUGGCACGCUACUCUCGCUAGAUCUCGGUCCGUGAGUAGGUUAGCUUGAUAGUGCUGACUGAAUAUGGGUAGUGCUGACUAUCCAAGGCUAAAUAUCAAAGUGUGGUGACCGAUAGCGAAUAAGUACCGUAAGGGAAAGCUGAAAAGCACCUCGACUGAGGAGCUAAAAGAGCAUGAAAUCCGUCUAACGUGAACUGGAAAUCGCUGGCUCGCAGAACGGUGCUCCAAGCCAUUUUUUGGCUUGGUUUAGCGCUUAGUAAAGCACGGCUACGGCUAAAGAACGGUGAAAGUGCCCUGUGGAAGCUGAGCUCAGAGGAGCGAUAUAGCUUUUCGCAGGAAAACGCUUAGCCUCGCUUCUUUUCCGCUUUGGCUUGGUGCCAGAUGCGUUAAAUAGCUAUGUGAUCAUGGCUUUAAGCGUGUUUGUAUCAGGUGUGUUAGAGCUGCGUUUCCAACCCGUCUUGAAACACGGACCAAGGAGUCUAACGUACACGCAAGUCAAGAGAUCAUUGAAAUCUCGAGGCGAAGCUAAUGCGAAAAGCAUCAAGAGCCGCUUAAGCCGGCCCCUCAAUGCUCUCCUAGGCUUACUUUUCGAGGUAGACCCUGGAGUUUGAGCGCGUAAUGUUAGGUCCCGAAAAACGACGAGCUAUGCUUGAGUAAGCCGAAGCCAGGAGAAAUCUUGGUGGAAGGCUGUAGCAGUACUGACGUGCAAAUCGUUUGUCAAACUUGAGUAUAGGGGCGAAAGACCAAUCGAGUCGUUUAGUAGCUGGUUUCCAC